rnacentral:lncRNA from 1 species
UUUUGUUACAACACAAACCUGUAUUACACAUAAAACUGAGACAUCAUGUAGUAUAUACCCAGCCAAUCAACUAGAAUAGACUUGGACUAAUAUCUUUCUAUAUUUUCAAGGAACUCACAUUCAAACAUGUUCCAGUAAAACAAGGUAUUAUACAUCUGGAUCAUACAUUGGUAGGUGCAGAAUUACCAUUUAUUCAUAAUUUUGUGUUCCCUAUUAUCAUAGGUGCUUCAAGUUGAGACACUUGAAUCAUUUGGAGGUGUGUUAGCAGACUUCCAAGAAAAUUUAGCAUGCCCUUCAUCGUAGUGCCUAACUCCUGCUACAUCAUCAAUCGGAACUGCUUCUGAAAUUUCCCUUAGGUCGUUCUCACUAAGUUUUACCGACAAGGCACCUAUGUUUUGAUCCAGGUUCUUGAUUUUAGUAGUUCCUGUAAAACCCUAUCUCCAUCAACAUAAUUGUUGUAAACUUUCAACCAAGCUAAGCAGCACUAUUAUCACCAGAACAAGUUUGUAUCCAAAUUAAACAAUUGAUCAUACCAGGAAUAGGCACAACAUCAUUGCCUUGUUGGAGUACCCAUGCUAAUGCCAACUGAGGAGUAGUGCACCGAUGCUUCUGUGCAAGGCUUUCUAUUUUCUCAUAUAUCCUUUUGUUCUUCUCUAUGUUCUCUGCUUGGUACCGGGGAUGACCACUCUAAAACGGAAAAAAAAAAAACAAGCAAUCAGACAAUCAGAUCAGAAUUCAUGUUUGUCAUGUUUCUUGUUGCAAAAUCAAGUCUAAUGAUCUUCUUACUCUUGAUGGCCAGCUUGGACUUAAAGAAAGAACAUGGAUGACAGUCUAAUUUAAACUCACAAAUUAGUUCAAUAAUCCUUCCAGGAUUAAGAAUUAUUCCUUGCUGUUCAUUAAUCCUAAUAACAAAUUUGAUGCAAUGUAACUAAAUCAAGCAUAGUGAUCAAAUAUGGUACCAAGGUGCUAACAGAAGGCACAGUUUCCACAACUCCCUUGCCGCCAAAAAAGCCACGACCAAGAGGGCUAUAAGGCACAAUUCCAAUGCCAAGUUCCCUGUAUUAAAACAAGCACAAAGAUAAAAGGUAAAAAAAGGUGUAGUCACAUAGAGACAUAGUUUCAAGUAGCUGAUGUCUAAUCUCUAUGUUCUUUAAGUAGAAACUCUAGAAGAACAACCAAAACUAACCUGCAAAGAGGGAUUACUUCGUCCUCGAUGUCUCGAGUCCAAAGAGACCACUCUAACUGAACUGCUGUAAUAGGAUGAACAGCAUGCGCUCUCCUUAUAGUAUCAGGGCUGGCUUCAGAUAGCCCUAUAUACUUCACUUUCCCUUCCUCAACCAGUUUCUUAAGUUCACCCAUCUAUUACAUACACCAAAGUUAUUCAGAUAUCAGAAUGUAUCAAACGAGAUAAGGCAGAUAAAUAGAUCAAGUAAUUUCUUUCAUUAGUCUGUAUCAUUACUUACUGUUUGCUCUAUAGGCACCGAUGUGUCGACUCUAUGUUGAUAAUAGAGAUCAAUGUAUUGAACAUCAAGACGUUUCAAGCUAGCUUCACAACAUGAGCGCACAUAGUCUGGUGUACCCUUGAUCUGCCUAUCAGAGAAGGUUGUUUUUGAAAUGCCAAAUUUUGUUGCUAGCUGUAUCUUGUCCCUGGGCAAUUGCUUCAAAGCCUGGUCAAGAAGGAAAUUCAUAAAUGUCUUUUAUUAAUUUGCAGCAGUAGCAGAAGAACCAUACUUACAAGAAUUCACCAAUUUGUAAAAGUAACGAUGACGAUUAGUGAAUAGUUAAUACCUUGGCGAGCAAGAGUUCGUUAGCAUGAUUAGAACCAUAGACAUCAGCAGUAUCGAAAAAAGUGAUGCCUUGAGUGAAAGCAUGCUUAAUAACUGAUAUGGCUUCUUGUUCCGGGAGAGGAUCGUUGUAAGCUCCAGUGAGCCCCAUACACCCAAACCCCAACUUUGAAACCUACAUAUAAAUAGACAAUUUCAAGGAAUCGGGGGUGAAAAUAAUUACAUGGAUUAAGUGAAUGAAAGAAGCUAACUUGAAGGCCUUGGGAACCAAGGUUCACGCGAGGAAUGGAAACGCUCUCACUCCCUGCUUCUGCCAUUAUUAUGCUGCUUCACUCCUCAGUCCUGAUUUGUAGCUGUGUAGUGUAUGUAAUGAUGGAGAACUAUAUAGACAAACUAGAAGGUGGACCCGCGGGCUUUGAAAAAUUUUAUUAUACGUGUUUUUAUUUUUAUAUGAAUAAUGGUGCUAUGCCACAUAUUCAACUUUUUUUACGAAUGAAGUCUAAUCAAACUAAAUAAUAAAAUUUAUAAUAAUAGUAGUUAUAUUUAAUAUUUAUAAUUUAGAAAAAAAUGUAUAAUCAAGUAUAAAUUUUUACUAUAUAAUAUAAAACAGAUGAUUAAUUAUGUUAGCUUAAUAAUACGAAUUUGUUUGUCUUAUACCUAUUGAGAUUUUUAUAAAAACUUUGUUGAUCUAGCUUAUUUAAAUAUAUUAUUUGAGUGUAAUUUAAAUAUUCAGAAUUCAUUUAAGUAAAAAAUACUGGAGUAUAAAACUAAAAUUCAAAUAUAAGAAUUGUGUUAUUUAAAGAAUUGUACGUAUUUAUAUGAAUGAAUGAGAAUGAAAAAUAUAUAAAAAUGUUAAAUUAAAUUUAAGAAAUUUUUGACAAUUAGUAUGAGAGAUUAAAAAAUGAAGAAUAGUAAGAGUCUUAAUAUGUAUAAGUUAUAGAAUUUGAAUAUUUGUAACUGAAAUUUUUUAUAAUAAUUAUUAUUAUGACACUUUUAAUGUAUGUUUAUUACAUUUAAUUAGUACUUAAUGUUUCAAUUAAAUAAUAAUAAAUAAAAAUUUUUUGUUUUAAUUUUUUUAAAAUAUUUUACUAAAUAGUGAUUGAUGAAUUUUAAAAUUUUGCCAAAUAUAUACCUACUUUUAUAUAUUAACAAUAGAUAAUUUCAUUGUGAAUUAUUGAUGUUCUUGAUAUAAGUUUUAAUUUUGGCCAUGUAAUAAAAGGUUAGAUUCAUUUUUUUAAAGAAUGAAUACCAUUUUUGUUUUCCAAUUUGUUUGUAGGACAUGUCGUCUCCAAUCAUUCUUAAACCCUCAAACAACCUUCAUCCUAAAGAAAAACUAGACAAGUCAACUAUUAGCAGAAGGUUAUUCAUAUGAUGUGUCAGUUUGUGGGUAAUGAGGCAAAUAUCAGUGCCACGUUGUAAGGGAGAAUUGUUAUAGAAACUAGUUGGCUCCUCCCAAAAUACGAAACGUUGUUGUAGAGUGAAGGAUGUAUAAGAGACCUUGAAUAUUUGGUUUUCUAUUAAUAUCUUUCGUUUACUCACACAUUCACAGAAAAGUCCUAAAACUUUGUCUUCCUCCUUCGUUUCCCUUCAAAAUACGGUGACAUCGUUGCAUGUGGUAUUUCUGGAAAUAACACGUUGAUGAAAGUUGAUAAGGACCAAGAAGGUUAGUUGUUAGUUUUCCGCACUCAUAUUCUCCUUGUUUUACUUUUUAUUGCGUUAUGAUGAACUGGAGAGUGUUGUUGCAUUGUUUUGAUGAGUGGUUUUUGUUCAAAACUGAGUUAACUAUACGAUUGUGAUGUCUUUGUGAAAUUCUGUGGUGAGCUAGAGUUUCGUUAUCUGUGCAAGCUAGAAUAAAAGAUGUAAUCUUGAUUAGUAUAUUCUGUUUCUUUUACUAGGUGUUUAUGUCAAUUGUGAUCCUCUGUUGAAAGUUUGUUAAACAAUUUAAAUGAAAUAUUGUGUUAUGUCUGCAAAUGUCCAUUUUUGUUGUUCCUGUGUUCAAUUAUGGUAGAAAGGUUUGAAAGAACUUUGAAAUGUGAGUUAUGCUAUAAAGAUGGAAAAGUAGAGAUUUUUUUUUUUCAAUGGAUGUGGACUUCGUCAAUAAAAAAGAUUUAGAGGAGUUAUUCAGAAGAUUAGGAUAUUUGGAGUAUAAAGCCAUAUUCUGGCAUGACCAACUACGCUGGUGUUUGAGAAUGGGUUGAACAAACAAAAUGUGUGACUUUAUACUUAGACACAACCUCAGAAUUCUUCUUGUACUUUGAGCAUCUAAUGGAUCAGCCUUGUAGUCCCAAAGACAAUGUGAGGGUGGAAUCUGUUUCUAUGCUGAAAGCCAAACUUCACCUACUUUUUCCCCAACUUAGAUUGCAGCACUUUUGGUAAAGAACCAACUUGAGUUGGUCGAGCGGUCAGCUCACUCGUCCGCUUAAGCAAGUGUCGGGAGUUCAAACCCCGCCUUGUGCAUGCAGCAACUCAUUGGCCAGCGGUAGACCCUUAAAUGGAGUUAAGAUCCGCGACGGAUUAGUUCUUAACCUAUCCGGUUGGAGAAUACCGUUUGAGUAAACUAAAAAAAAAAAAAAAUUCAGAUGCACUUCUUGCGUUAUAUAUUUCAUCAUACAAUAAAAAUAGAUAUCACACCUUAAAACAUUUUAAAAAAAUUAACUAAAGAAUGUCUUAGUGUCCUAGAUAAAAAGUUAUAGAAAAAGGUUUUAUUUUUAAUAUUUCAUCAAUAUAUUUAAUUAAUACAAAAUUUAUAUUUUUAAUAAAAUACUCUAUUUAGACGAGGUCUUAGAAAAAACUCUUAUCUUCAAGAGAGAAUAAAAGGGGAAAAAAUACUUAUUGAUGAAGAAACAGAAUGAUGCCAUUUAGAAAUGGCCAAUUCUAUGGUGCCUAUGACUUGGUGCCUAAAUUUUGCCUAACAUUCCUUUUGUGGUAAGUUUUGAAUUUUUAAAAAUUAUUUAUUUUUAUACCUUUUAAAUUAAAUAUUAAUUUUUAACUCUUUUUAGUAAAUAGACACCAUCUUUUAGACACUAUAGCAUUCACCUUUAGAAAUAUAGCGAAGUGGAGGGAAGAAAAAAACCGAAAGAAAGAAAAAGUUGUAGUAGACAUAGACAUAGAUGUGAUAGAGUAAUAAUUAAGGAAGUACUUCGAGGCCUGAUUUUUUUAGAUGUAUCAAAGUUAAUACUUUGGUACCCACAUAUAUUGGAUAUUACUUUGUGUUUGUGAUUUGAAUUCUUGACCAAAAGAUCUGGAUCUUAAUCGUCACUGAUAAUGUCAGCCAGUAUUCAAAAGUCAAAACCCGGUAAAUAAGAAUGACGGAUUGUGGUGUGGUGUCGCUUUAUUGUUUCUGCCUUAUCAUGAUUUAUAAUUCGAUAAAUAAGAAUAAUUAAAAUGCUACUCUAAUAACUUCAUGAAUAGCAGGUACAUGGAUGGAUAAUAAAGGAAUCCCUAUUAUUAUACAUAAGUUUUGUUACAACACAAACCUGCAUUACACAUAAAACUGAGACAUCAUGUAGUAUCUACCCAACCAACCAACUAGAAUACACUUGGACUAAUAUCUUUCUGUAUUUUCAAGGAACUCACAUUCAAACAUUUUCCAGUAAAACAAGGUAUUAUACAUCUGGAUCAUACAUUGGUUGGUGUAGAAUUACCCUUUACUCAUAAUUUUGUGUUCCCUAUAAUUAUAGGUGCUUCAAGUUGAGACACUUGAAUCAUUUGGAGGUGUGUUAGCAAACUUCCAAGUAAAUUUAG